CUUAUGUGGGUGCAUAUUAAAGAGUCUUAGUGCAAAAGAAAAAAGUGUUUAUAUCCUUUGAGAAGAACAUAAGAAAUUACUAAUUCUAAGUUGGCAUAGCAGCAGCAUUUUAGAUGGAUGGGCUGGAUUUAUUCCUACAGCUGUUGUCUUUGCUGCACAUCAAAACUCCUGAUUUUUGCUACAUUUGUGAAUGUUUUCUGUGGCCUCUAUUCCAGCUCAUUUCCACCAUGUCAUAGAGUUGCUGAGGUUCAGACAGGGGACACUAUCAGGGAUCUUCCUCUCAGCAGUGUUUCAGUUCACCUACACAGCGCUAUUUGGUGCUUACACUGCUUUCAUCUUUAUCAGAACAGGUCACCUGAUGGGUCCGGUUCUCUGUCACUCCUUUUGUAACUACAUGGGUUUCCCAGCCAUCAGCACUGCACUGGAGCACCCCCAGCGCCCCAUCAGAUAACAGAAUUCAUGCUAUGUGUUAUGACAUAUAAUUUCCCUUAAUGCCAUUUGUCCCCCCUGACUGCACAAUGACAUUUUAGGCAGGAGUUUUGUUAUUUCUGGCUGCACAACCCUUCAGGACUAAGCACUGCUGUAGCUGCAUUCAACAACAGAAAUAUAUCUGGGGUAGAAUGUUAAAAUAUAUCCACUGUGUAAUUUGCCAAAAUUGUCUCGGGUGUAUAUUAUGCAUUAUUUUAAUUUUUAUGGUUUGAUUUUAAACAGCCAGU